GAUGAACGCUGGCGGCGUGCCUAAUACAUGCAAGUCGAGCGAACGGACGAGAAGCUUGCUUUUCUGAUGUUAGCGGCGGACGGGUGAGUAACACGUGGAUAACCUACCUAUAAGACUGGGAUAACUUCGGGAAACCGGAGCUAAUACCGGAUAAUAUUUUGAACCGCAUGGUUCAAAAGUGAAAGACGGUCUUGCUGUCACUUAUAGAUGGAUCCGCGCUGCAUUAGCUAGUUGGUAAGGUAACGGCUUACCAAGGCAACGAUGCAUAGCCGACCUGAGAGGGUGAUCAGCCACACUGGAACUGAGACACGGUCCAGACUCCUACGGGAGGCAGCAGUAGGGAAUCUUGCGCAAUGGGCGAAAGCCUGACGGAGCCACGCCGCGUGAGUGAUGAAGGUCUUCGGAUCGUAAAACUCUGUUAUUAGGGAAGAACAUAUGUGUAAGUAACUGUGCACAUCUUGACGGUACCUAAACAGAAAGCCACGGCUAACUACGUG
rnacentral:rRNA from 1 species